AACCCAAGCAGUGGAAAUUAUUCCACUUUAUUAUGGUAGGCAACGAGGGAAACCUAUGCAAAUUAGGUACUGCCCCCGCAACGGUAAUAACUCAUCGAUGUGCUAAUGAGUUUAAGUCCGACAUCUUGUGCUUACUUAAUUAUCACU
rnacentral:ncRNA from 2 species